rnacentral:lncRNA from 1 species
GGGCCCGUUGCCCUGGACGACGGGCACCCCCUGCUCCUCCAAGCUGCUUCCCAGGAAAUGUCACUUUAUUGUCAAUGCUGCUUAACUGAGAUCCAACGGAUAAUAUUAGUCUCCUUGAAGGCCACCCAACCUCUGCUUUGUUUUCUGCUGCUCAAAAUGGACGCUCAGACUGCGUUAACCUGCUGCUGACUUCGGGGGUGUCUACUGAUGUUUCUGAUUUAAACGAAUUUACGCCUUUACACUUUGCCGCCGCACACGAACACCACAGGUGUGUGGAGGCCCUGGUGUUUGGUGGGGCUGAUGUGGACCAAAGGGCCAUUGGGGGAAAGACCCCUCUGUUCAUGGCCAGCGGAGCCGACAGGCUGGACUGUACCAGUGCCUUGCUCAACGCCGGGGCCGACCGCUCAAGAGCCACCACCGACAGCUGCACGGCUCUCCACGCGGCGUUCAGCUUGGGACAUGUGGACACUCUGCGGCUCCUCCUCUGCCACCCUGCCCCUGACUGUACCCACAUCAUGACCCUAACCCUGACUGCAACCAUAGUCCUGGUCCUGCCACGAUCCCGGUCCUGUUUAGCACCUUGCUCAACCAGGACAACUGUGAGGGCUGGACCACUGCACACAUCACUGCUGCCAGGGGCUUCAAGGUCUGUCAGAGUCGUGUCUGGAUGA